rnacentral:rRNA from 1 species
GACGAACGCUGGCGGCGUGCUUAACACAUGCAAGUCGAACGGAAAGGCCCUGCUUUUGUGGGGUGCUCGAGUGGCGAACGGGUGAGUAACACGUGAGUAACCUGCCCUUGACUUUGGGAUAACUUCAGGAAACUGGGGCUAAUACCGGAUAGGAGCGCCUGCUGCAUGGUGGGGGUUGGAAAGUUUCGGCGGUUGGGGAUGGACUCGCGGCUUAUCAGCUUGUUGGUGGGGUAGUGGCUUACCAAGGCUUUGGCGGGUAGCCGGCCUGAGAGGGUGACAGGCCACAUUGGGACUGAGAUACGGCCCAGACUCCUACGGGAGGCAGCAGUGGGGAAUAUUGCACAAUGGGCGGAAGCCUGAUGCAGCAACGCCGCGUGCGGGAUGACGGCCUUCGGGUUGUAAACCGCUUUCGCCUGUGACGAAGCGUGAGUGACGGUAAUGGGUAAAGAAGCACCGGCUAACUACGUG